rnacentral:rRNA from 1 species
UACGAAGGGGGCUAGCGUUGCUCGGAAUCACUGGGCGUAAAGCGCACGUAGGCGGAUUGUUAAGUCAGGGGUGAAAUCCUGGAGCUCAACUCCAGAACUGCCUUUGAUACUGGCGAUCUUGAGUCCGGGAGAGGUGAGUGGAACUGCGAGUGUAGAGGUGAAAUUCGUAGAUAUUCGCAAGAACACCAGUGGCGAAGGCGGCUCACUGGCCCGGUACUGACGCUGAAAUACGAAAGCGUGGGGAGCAAACAGG